GGUGAAAUUCUUGGACCGUCGCAAGACGGACUUAAGCGAAAGCAUUUGCCAAAAACGCUUUCAUCGAUCAAGAACGAAAGUUAGAGGUUCGAAGGCGAUCAGAUACCGCCCUAGUUCUAACCAUAAACUAUGCCAGCUAGCGAUCCGCCGAAGUUACUUCUAUGACUCGGCGGGCAGCUUCCGGGAAACCAAAGCUUUCGGGUUCCGGGGGAAGUAUGGUUGCAAAGCUGAAACUUAAAGGAAUUGACGGAAGGGCACCACCAGGAGUGGAGCCUGCGGCUUAAUUUGACUCAACACGGGAAACCUCACCAGGCCCGGACACCGGAAGGAUUGACAGAUUGAGAGCUCUUUCUUGAUUCGGUGGGUGGUGGUGCAUGGCCGUUCUUAGUUGGUGGAGCGAUUUGUCUGGUUAAUUCCGAUAACGAA
rnacentral:rRNA from 1 species